UUUCCAGACUCCUACGGGAGGCAGCAGUGGGGAAUAUUGCACAAUGGGGGAAACCCUGAUGCAGCGAAGCCGCGUGAGUGAAGAAGUAAUUCGUUAUGUAAAGCUCUAUCAGCAGGGAAGAAAAUGACGGUACCUGAGUAAGAAGCCCCGGCUAACUACGUGCCAGCAGCCGCGGUAAUACGUAGGGGGCAAGCGUUAUCCGGAUUUACUGGGUGUAAAGGGAGCGUAGACGGCAGUGCAAGUCUGGAGUGAAAGGCGGGGGCUCAACCCCCGGACUGCUCUGGAAACUGCGUCGCUGGAGUACGGGAGGGGCAGGCGGAAUUCCUGGUGUAGCGGUGAAAUGCGUAGAUAUCAGGAGGAACACCGGCGGCGAAGGCGGCUUACUGGACUGUAACUGACGUUGAGGCUCGAAAGCGUGGGGAGCAAACAGGAUUAGAUACCCGCGUAUU
rnacentral:rRNA from 1 species